GAUGAAGAACGCAGCGAAAUGCGAUAAGUAAUGUGAAUUGCAGAAUUCAGUGAAUCAUCGAAUCUUUGAACGCACAUUGCGCCCGCUAGUAUUCUGGCGGGCAUGCCUGUCCGAGCGUCAUUUCAACCCUCAAGCCCCCGGGCUUGGUGUUGGGGAUCGGCGAGCCUCCGCGCCCGCCGUCCCCUAAAUCCAGUGGCGGUCUCGCUGUAGCUUCCUCUGCGUAGUAGCACACCUCGCACUGGGAAACAGCGCGGCCACGCCGUUAAACCCCCAACUUCUGAACGUUUGACCUCGGAUCAGGUAGGAAUACCCGCUGAACUUAAGCAUAUCAAUAAGCGAGGA
rnacentral:misc_RNA from 1 species